rnacentral:tRNA from 1 species
GCGCCUGUAGCCUAGUCUGGCAACGGCUUGUCCGUUGGAUAAAUAAGGCGUUUCCCUCCUAAGGAAAAGAUCGAGAGUUCGAAUCUCUCCAGGCGCG